UUCGUUUGUUUUUUUUCCAGCAAAACAAACAUACUGUAAUAGUUUUUUCUUUUUCUUUCUCUCUGCAAUUCGACGAAAUCUCACCUUCAUAUUUCUAAUCAUCAAUUUCUUUUUCAAAAAGUCCAACCUGAAAUAUGCGAGAAUCAACCCGUCGCUGCUGGGACAUGAGAGAUUGCAAGAUGGAUUCUACAUCGAGAUCUACAAAAGGAGCUUUAAACAUAAGAUUCUAUCUUCUAUGAUAUGGUGGCUAAUAAGGAGACCUUGAUUCAAACUACGACCACCAUGAUGUUUUGAAAGUCGGGCAAUGUGAGAUACACAUCAUCAGAGAUGGAAACACAUGGGGUUACAUGAGUGUUGUUCACAAAGCCCAUAUUAAACGAAUGAUUGGGCAGUGAAGUGUUCGCAGAUGUGUAGGACCUUGACUUGAACUCGCCAGAUGGUUUUGUAAGGUUUCACAUCAGCAAGGAAGCUUGGCAAUGGAUCUUCACUAAAUGCGAGUCUAAUGAAGCUGAGCUUGAAGCUGUUCCAUGGAGGGUUGCUUAUCUACGUUUUUUCAUUUACUUCCAUGAUGUUAUCUUACUAUUACAUUAAUGUUUGUAAUUGGUAAUACUGUUUGUAAUUUGUAACUAAAAUACGAUUUAUUUAAUAUAAUUACGAUUAAUUUGUUUAAUUA